AGAGUUUGAUCCUGGCUCAGAUGAACGCUAGCGGCAGGCUUAACACAUGCAAGUCGAGGGAUGGGUGUUUCGGACCAAGAGACCGGCGCACGGGUGCGUAACGCGUAUGCAAUCUACCUUUCACAGAGGGAUAGCCCAGAGAAAUUUGGAUUAAUACCUCAUAGUAUUAUAGAGUGGCAUCACUUUAUAAUUAAGGUCACAACGGUGAAAGAUGAGCAUGCGUCCCAUUAGCUUGUUGGUAAGGUAACGGCUUACCAAGGCUACGAUGGGUAGGGGUCCUGAAGGGAGAUCCCCCACACUGGUACUGAGACACGGACCAGACUCCUACGGGAGGCAGCAGUGAGGAAUAUUGGACAAUGGGCGCAAGCCUGAUCCAGCCAUGCCGCGUGCAGGAUGACGGUCCUAUGGAUUGUAAACUGCUUUUGCACAGGAAGAAACAACGCUACGUGUAGCGUCUUGACGGUACUGUGAGAAUAAGGAUCGGCUAACUCCGUGCCAGCAGCCGCGGUAAUACGGAGGAUCCAAGCGUUAUCCGGAAUCAUUGGGUUUAAAGGGUCCGUAGGCGGUUUAGUAAGUCAGUGGUGAAAGCCCAUCGCUCAACGGUGGAACGGCCAUUGAUACUGCUAGACUUGAAUUAUUAGGAAGUAACUAGAAUAUGUAGUGUAGCGGUGAGAUGCUUAGAGAUUACAUGGAAUACCAAUUGCGCAGGCAGGUUACUACUAAUGGAUUGACGCUGAUGGACGAAAGCGUGGGUAGCGAACAGGAUUAGAUACCCUGGUAGUCCACGCCGUAAACGAUGGAUACUAGCUGUUGGGAGCGAUCUCAGUGGCUAAGCGAAAGUGAUAAGUAUCCCACCUGGGGAGUACGUUCGCAAGAAUGAAACUCAAAGGAAUUGACGG
rnacentral:rRNA from 1 species